GCUCAGUAUUGCACAUGGCUGGGAAAGCCUCUGACCCUUGACCCCAGCUUCCCCCAGGUUAGGUGGGAACACAGGUUUCUUUGUGCUCACCUGGUUAAGAGAAACCACACCUAUACCUUGUCAUUAACCAAUGAUCAUCAUCCCUAUGUACUGUGUAUAUUUGCAUAUCAAAGAGAUUAAAUAGGGCCCAGCCAGCUCCGCCUCUCUCUCUUCUGCUCUUGCUCCCUUCCAGCUCACGCUGAUGGCUGUCCUUGCUGGAGCCUGGCCUAAUCUUUCUCUAUCAUCUCUCUGAUCUGUGUGGUAUUGAAUCUGGAUCUCUGGACUGGUAAAAGCCUUUGGAAGGGUCCUUUGAUCAGAGCUUGGCUGUGGCUUAUUGGUAAUUAAUAAAGUCUCAUUCCUGCCACCUCAUAUCUCUACUUCGACUCCAUCAUCCCCCUCAUGGUAUCAAAAACUUCUAUCCUUUCUCUAUCUUCCUACCUUAAAGCUUCUCUCUCCCCUCUGAGGAAGCUUUAUCUGGCGCCCAAAAAUGUGACCAAGACUCACACCUGGCACUUGUGGCAUUCAACCUUUAUUUCGCACAGCUGGUGGGAGGACGCGUCCCUUGACGCGAGGGUGAGAAGGCUUGGUCAUGACGUGAGUCUGAGGGAGUUUUCCGGUUCUCUUGGCCAAGAAGGAUAAAGAAAACAUCUGGUCACCCACGUCAUGCUUCAUGCCAGCUGACACAGACCAGGAAGAGAAGCAGACAAAUGCUGUUGUCAUCAGCUAUCUGCAUGCCAGCCACAAUCCAGGCAUGCUGGAAGGACACUUCUUUUGGUUCUAUCCAUCUUUUUUACUAUUUUAUACCUCUCUCCUGCCCAACUGUUUUCCACUGGGAAGAGCCAAUGGUUUUAUCCAGUAGACUGAUGGCUGGAGACCAGCUGCUACUUCAAGAUGCCAGAAAUCCAUGGAGGAAAACAGAAGGCAUUCAGCAUUUCCAAAGAGAGGAGAAAGCAGAUGUCUGUCUAGCACCAACCACAGCACAGCACAGAAGCCAGACACCAGAAAAACAGCAGAUGAACUAGCAAGGCAAAACCACUGUCUUAGGAACAGGUCUAAUGCACUAUCCUCACAAAUGAACUUUUUUCUGAGAGACAGUUUACCUACAGAAGUAUAUCAUUAAUUUGCUUACAGAUAUUCUAUUCUAAAAGUAUAUGGUUAUUUGUUGUAAGAUCAAGGCUUAUCAUGUACCUGAAUAUUUCAAAUGGUAUUUAUACAAUAUGUAACUUGCAAUUAUUUUAUUGGAAUUGUUCCAUAUUACCCAAAUUUGAUCAAAUAACAAAUUGUGCAAUUGGGAGUGUUAUAACAGUACAUUAGAUACUGUUCAAUUGCAGCAGAAAUUGUUUAUAUUUUCUAAAAUGUAUGUAUGAUCAUUGUCUCAAAUGGUUCAUUUUAUAUUUACAAAAAACAAUGUCUUUAUUAGAAUUAGACUUAUUUAAAAGUCAAUUUUGCUGGAAAUGGCAUUUAAGCUUUUUUUUUUUUAAAGGGAGGUAAUGGUACUCCUAACCAUCAAUCUCUUCUACAUCCCAGAAGGGAUAUAGGCUAAUCCUACGCAAUAACAUUUUGAAUACAAUGAUAAAGAUUACACUGUAUGUUAACCCUGGAUUGGGUUGAAUAUUACCAGCAGAUAAAGACUUUCGGGCACCCAACAGGAUGAUAACUUUGGGUCGAGGGUUUGCUUGUAUUUCUACAGAUAGUGAAAACAUCUGGUCACCCACAAAGCACAUCAUGCCAUGUGACAUGAGACCAGGAAGAGAAGCAGACGAACAGCACUGAUGACAUCAGUUAGCUGCAUAUAAGGGACACUCCAGACACGCUGGAAGAAACCAUCACUGGUGACUUCACACACACAAAAGACUGACACUAUAUUUACUAUCAUUACCCUGAUGGACAUUUGUCAUGCUGAAGUUUAUUGGUCCAUUAUACCCAAACUUCCAAUAUUAAGAAUGUUAACUUGUAUGGACUAACCCCCACUUGUGUAUGUUAAUGACACCAGAUAGAUCCCAUACUCCAAAGACUUUGCCAUGGGAUCAGAAGGGACUAGUUACAAUUAUUCAGACACUGCUGUAUACCCUUUAUUUUGUAUGUCUAUGCUAUAUACUGUCAAAAGGAAUUUAUUUUGUAUACAUUGUAAAAUUCAAACUUGUAUUGUAAGUAAUGCUACUAUUGACUAUUAUAUAGGCAAUUGGUAUGGCUCUCAUAGGAGGAGAUAGAAUUUAUCUAACACAACAUAGACCUAGUAGCCCUGAAAACAUAAAAAUGUGUUCAAUGCAGGAAAAGACACUGCACAGGGAUUUAUCAUGGACAGGUUGUCCUGGUCAACCUACUAGAAAAGUGAGAUGUCAGGCAGAAUAGAUUUUGAAAACUGUCAUCUACAUCUAUGUAUAGAUUAUUUUCAUGACAAUACCUAUAUUGCUGUUAGGUACCAACCACCAUUGGUGUGGUUACAGGUUAAUCUUACAGACAUGGGCAUCUACUCCAACUGUCCAUUUUGUUCACAAACCAUUUUCAAUCAUUACUCCUGAAACCCCCAUCUUUUGGGUGAUAUCUUUAUGGGAACUCUUUCAUGCUCUCUCCCACCAGCCCCAGAGGUCAGGCAGACCACUGGAUUUGGGGUCUUUUGGUUUCCCCUUCUCAUACUGGAAGACGUUCUGGCAUGUGGGAAGUCUCGUCUCAGUGGUAAACUGAGUGCCCAAGGUUGGACAACCUCUGUGGAAGCACAGUUGUUGAACCUCGUGUGUGGAAUUGGUUAUUCCACAUCUACAUGGGACAGAGGCAAAGUAUACACUGAGUUUCCCCUUUGGAGUAUAUACUUUAGAAAUUAAAAAAAAUUGACACUAAUAAGUUUGUAGAAAAAGCACAUUGGAUAUUAUACAUUUACUACAAGGAAUUAAGAAGUUACAUCAAAUUCUAUAUGAGCAAGAAGCUGUAGAAAUUGCUUCUACAUGAAAAGAAACUUAGGCUUCUAUUAACCCAAAAAUUGUUUUGGUAGAGUGAAUUUUUCAAACAUUGGCAAUGUUAUAUUAUUGGUUAUUAUAUUGAUUGGUUUGGGGUGUAUGGGGUGUUCAGGGAGGGGUAGUAUCUCUGGUAUGGAGGGCUUGUUGUGCCCUCCUAGGGCAGCUCUCCAGCCUCUGACCCUCACCUGACACCGAGCUCUCACUUGUGGCUCCCAGUAGCUGCUAGCAUGCAGCAGCAGCCACACCCCAGGCAACGGCUUCAACAGGCCGGCUAAACCUUGUGAGGGUAGACAUCGACCCCUGGGGAGCCAGGGCUUUGCUCACCCAGCAUGUGAAGACUGCUUCGGUGGAACAGGUGGAAGAAACCAAUAAGAAGAUUCAACGGCUGAGAUGGCAACGCAACAAAGCACUGUGGAGUGCUUAGGGCAUGUUGGAACACAAAAGACAACACGGCCAUCCAAUGCAGCUGAGGAAGUCUCCAGAUGUAACGACUUUUCAUGCCACUGGACCCAGGCUUCCAACGCCAAGAGAGUGGGACUGUCUCUGUGCAUUGACUUUUCCACUUAAAUCUCCUUCAUGCACAAGUGUCUUUGUGCACACUCAUCUAUCAUAGAUGUAAACACACAAAGACAAUUGUCAUCCUCGGAUACUGAGAGACUACUACUAUACUAUACUAUAUUGAUUGGUUUAUUUAUACAGAAGUAGAGGUUUAAAUAAGGCUUAUAUUAGAAAUAUGCAGCCAGAACUGGCUCUGUCUCAUCAUUCUCAUUGUUUAUUGCAUGACGAUAUUGAACUACCAUCACUCAGAAUGUAAUGUUCCAGAAAAUGAUAGUGUUUUCUAAGACUUGAAUUAAUGAUUGCACCAAUGUUUUGAAAAAAUUGUUAGAUGCUAAUAUAUUUGGUAUGCUUUCUAUAUGAUUGUUGAUCAUCUAAUAUUAGGCAUGAAAGAGAAAUUCUUCCUGUUAUAAAAAAAAAGGGGGAAAGGAUUUUUAAGGAUAUCAUUAUUUUUGGUUACUUUAUUUUUGCUGGAUAUGUUUGGUAAUUCAAUUUUGUUUUCCUUUUUCAUAACUUUGGUGAUAUUUGAAGUAAAUUGCAAGUAGUAUUAAGGCUCUGAUCCUGAACUAUGAAUCUGAACUUUUUAUUUUUGUAUGUACCCAAAAGCUUGAGACUACAUGAACAUGACAGCAUUUGUUAAAAACUUUAGGUGACUAUUCUGAGAGAUUAUGUCUGAUUGCAAAAAAAGGGAUUGCAAUGGAUACCUUACACUUAGCCAGACAGCCUAAGCCUCAGACAAAUGUAUAUUCCACAGGUGAUGGAUAUAUAUUGGUUGCUAAGGUUGGAGGUAAAAGGACACAGUGUUUUGACACCCUCAUUCAAAGGUUGGCCUGGUAUCAAAGUUCCAACCAUAUAUCUAUGUGGCAGGCAUCUUGGUUCUUUAUCCCCAAGUCUAUGCAUGAUCAGUACAAGGGAGGAGUACAAGAAAGGAAUUCCCUCUCAU